GCCAGCUAAGGUCCCAAAGUCAUGGUUAAGUGGGAAACGAUGUGGGAAGGCCCAGACAGCCAGGAUGUUGGCUUAGAAGCAGCCAUCAUUUAAAGAAAGCGUAAUAGCUCACUGGUCGAGUCGGCCUGCGCGGAAGAUGUAACGGGGCUAAACCAUGCACCGAAGCUGCGGCAGCGAACGUAUCACUUAAAGCGAUUCAGCGGGUUACGAUUGACGGAGCGAAGCGACGUCAAAGCGUAUACAAAGUCGAGUCGGUUUAAGGAUACGUUCGUUGGGUAGGGGAGCGUUCUGUAAGCCUGCGAAGGUGGCCUGUGAGGGUUGCUGGAGGUAUCAGAAGUGCGAAUGCUGACAUAAGUAACGAUAAAGCGGGUGAAAAGCCCGCUCGCCGGAAGACCAAGGGUUCCUGUCCAACGUUAAUCGGGGCAGGGUGAGUCGACCCCUAAGGCGAGGCCGAAAGGCGUAGUCGAUGGGAAACGGGUUAAUAUUCCCGUACUUGGUGUUACUGCGAAGGGGGGACGGAGAAGGCUAUGUUGGCCGGGCGACGGUUGUCCCGGUUUAAGCGUGUAGGUGUGUGUUCCAGGUAAAUCCGGUUCACUUUAACACUGAGGCGUGACGACGAGGCACUACGGUGCUGAAGCAACAAAUGCCCUGCUUCCAGGAAAAGCCUCUAAGCAUCAGGUAACAUCAAAUCGUACCCCAAACCGACACAGGUGGUCAGGUAGAGAAUACCAAGGCGCUUGAGAGAACUCGGGUGAAGGAACUAGGCAAAAUGGUGCCGUAACUUCGGGAGAAGGCACGCUGACACGUAGGUGAAGUGAUUUACUCACGGAGCUGAAGUCAGUCGAAGAUACCAGCUGGCUGCAACUGUUUAUUAAAAACACAGCACUGUGCAAACACGAAAGUGGACGUAUACGGUGUGACGCCUGCCCGGUGCCGGAAGGUUAAUUGAUGGGGUCAGCGCAAGCGAAGCUCCUGAUCGAAGCCCCGGUAAACGGCGGCCGUAACUAUAACGGUCCUAAGGUAGCGAAAUUCCUUGUCGGGUAAGUUCCGACCUGCACGAAUGGCGUAAUGAUGGCCAGGCUGUCUCCACCCGAGACUCAGU
rnacentral:rRNA from 1 species